ensembl:lncRNA
AUGGAAAACAAGGACCCUAAGGCUAAUAUUUUUACACAAGCAAGAAGAGAAAUACAUGCGACCCACGCAGGCAGCUUGCGACACAGAAACAGGGAAGAUGUGGCUCCUGGAAGGGACUGCAAACUGCCUGCGGCCAGCCGGCGGGGCGCCCCGUGGUCACGGUGCCUCGGGGCAAAUGGAGACCGUCACUCCGGUGCGAGGACGGCYGGCAGGCCGGGAGGAGGAGAGCAAUGCUGCCGGUGCCAGAGCGCGUCCCCGGGAAAAGGGUCUACAUGUGGCAGAUGCUGGACGCCACUGAAACGUGACCUGAAGUGGCUAACUACUCACCUCGGUUAUUCACCGCCGUUGCUGCCUGCGCAUCCUGUGGGGGAGCACGAGGCUAGACAUGUGGCUGCACAAGCUGAACAGCCAGCAGGUCUCAUUCCUCCUUUCUGCGACUUUCCAGCCUGAGAAAAGUGCUCAGUGGGGUGGAGCAGAAAACCCCUCUGGAGAAGGCAACCCACAGAACUGAACUUGCUCCGCCGAGGACACAUACAGGGAGGUCCUGUGCUGCAUCUCUACAAGGGACCAUGAAGGGUCCAGGGAAAGGAUUAAACUAACCGUAUUUCUUGGCACUCGCCCAAGCGAGUUCACAGACUGGAAAAAGUACCCUGGCCUAAGUAGCCUUCAGGGUUGGCUUCCCCCUGGCUUGGAGGACGUUGCAGCUGCGCUGCGUUGCUAGCGACACCUGGGCCAGCAUGGGGGUGUCUACUUGAGCUAAGCCAUUGUGUGAGAUGCAUCCCCAGCUUCAACAGCUUCCACGGGUUACUUUAGCAGCACAGCUGGCCAGCUGCAAGCCAACACAUUUCUAUGAAAAAUGCUGAAAAUCUGCUCCCUCAGUUCCUAUCCCCAGUGCACCCUUGCUUUGUCUGAGUUGGGCCUCUUUAACAAGCUGGCCCCUACCUGUGUGGUGUAACAGAGAUGAUGAUGAGCUGAAUAGCUCACCUAUAGCAUCUGCGUGCUGUGAUAAUGACCAGGACUGAGGAAAGAAAGCAUGAAAAAAUACGAAGGCGCUGUCUUUGGAAGGCAACAGAAAAUCACUACUUGUAUGGGUAAAAGCUGGGCUAAUGAAGCAGGAUAGCAAUACUGAAGUAACUACAGGUGGCUGGGGAAACCUCCUGCAGGAGACUUCAAAGUAGCUAAACUGCUUAUAUGAUGUGCUGUAAGUUGGCUUUCUGUCAUUAGAUACUCGUUAGAAGGGCUACAAGUAAAUAAGAAUGCUCAUUAUCAAAACACCUUGAGUAAAUUUGAUGUCCAGAGAUAUUUUAAGGGAAAAGAUGCUGGUGAAGCAUCAGGUACUCUUUUUCUGUUCUCUUUGAACCUAAUAUCCACAACAGGCAGGAAGCAUUAGAUGAAAACCAGGAUUUCUUCCUAGUAAAUUUUGAAUUAUCCAAUUUCCUUCUUUUAGCCUAGUUAUAUUGUACUAGAUGAUGUCCUUUUUUGCUUUAAAUUAUGGCUGAAAAGUUAUAUAAAAGAAAGAAUAGAAAGAGAAAAACAGAAGCUAAAGUACACGCCUUUGCAUUCUCUUUUGCAUGCAGAACGGGUGCAGCUAGAAGUGGCAUGUGGCUAGGUUGUGUCUCAGGGCUGCGUACAAGCGUACCUGUGCCUGAGCUUGCAUUUCCUCACAGCUGCUGGUAUACUAUGAGUUUGGGUUAUUUUCCAUGCAUACUUGCAUGUGCCUACUAAUGAAAAUCAAGCCAAAAAUCAUGUUUCUUCAGCUGGUUUUGCUUAAUUUAGCCAUUUCCGACCAUCUGAUCGCUUUGUGAAUUUUACCCUGCUCUACUUUUCCGAUUUCACCAGGCUCUAGCUUUCUCUGUCCUUUUCUCUGUAAAGCUUCCUGUUCAUCCAAAUAAAUUUUGUCUCCUGACAAUCUUCCUCUUUCUA